rnacentral:rRNA from 1 species
UGGCGGACGGGUGAGUAACGCGUGGGUAACCUGCCUCACACUGGGGGACAACAGUUAGAAAUGACUGCUAAUACCGCAUAAGCGCACAGGACCGCAUGGUCCGGUGUGAAAAACUCCGGUGGUGUGAGAUGGAUCCGCGUCUGAUUAGGUAGUUGGUGGGGUAACGGCCCACCAAGCCGACGAUCAGUAGCCGACCUGAGAGGGUGACCGGCCACAUUGGGACUGAGACACGGCCCAA